GCUGCAGGGAGGAAAGGAAAAGAACUCUGCAAUCACUCUCUGGGAUUACACAAAAGAGAAACUAAGAGGAAGCCUAGGAGGAGAGUGAGCCCUGGGAUCCUUGCCUGAGUAGAGAAGGCUGGAAAAGGGGACACAGCUCUACUGGACAUCUUCAGUGAGACCCUAGUGUCCAUUCAGAUUUUCAUUACCCCAAAAGGGGUUGAAACUACUGUACCAGAGGGGAAACCUCAGGUAGCAGCCGCAUCUGAAGGCAACAGCUAUAGUGACCAGAACUCACGGACCUCCCUGGCCGACAGUUUAAUAUUUUCCUGUGGAACACGGCUGUCAUGAGAAAUCAUGGUUGUGGAAGGACAUAGGAUCCCAAUCCUGUGGACAGCUUUGAAGGUUGGGACAGUGUUAGAUUUUGAACUGGACUCUGCAUUCAGUGGGGAGCCAGUGGAGAGAGCAGAACACGAGUGAAGAGAUCAUUGCAACCUGUGUUGCUUAGCAGAGGAUCUUCUGCAUGGAAUACCAUCUAGGGCUUUUUUCAGUGUCUGUGGCUUCAUACUUAAAUAUCAGGCACCAUGGCAGUGUCCAGAGAUAGAAGUUGGUGGGUUGGUUGGUUUUGCUGCAAUGGCUACCAACAGAGUAUCACUGUAUCUGAACUCAGUAAUAAAAAUGUUCCACUAUAUGUCCUAAUUCUGCAAAAAGCUUAGGUCGCUGGGAUGCUUCAUAGGAAGUUUCUCCUGUUUGUAGCUGAAAAGGCUCAGAGUACUGGUUUUUGAUGUGACACCUUUCCUGUCCCUUCCAGAACUUAAAGGGGAGUGGAGUGGAAUGGGGUGGGGUGGGGGAAUAGUCUUACCUUUCAUAGUGUUUGGAUCUGUAGUUCCAGAUCAUGGAAUCUGUUACAUAGAAGAAAAAUUCUUGAAUAUACUUUCUGUACGUGCAAGGAAAAAACACAUGCAAGUUAUUUUCGGCAUGUAAUGUGCUGUACAGUACAGUGUGCUGUGAUAAUACACUGACUGGCAAAUCAGAAUGCUUAACAUGAUUUGGGGCCAUUUGGUGCAGCGAGUGUCAUUUAGUGCAGUUCCAGGGGCUCCCAGUGGAGCUCUGCUGAUUGACAGAAGCUGAGGAUCCGGCCCAAGGUUACCUGUUGUUGAAAUGUAGUAUUCAAGAAGUUAAAAGGUGAUUGAGAUUUAGCGGAGUUAGGUUACCUGGCUCCUUUAAAUCCUGAAUUGCCAAUCUGUGGCCUUAAGCUCAGUCAGCUGGCUUCUUACAAAGAAGAUUGAGAAUGAGUCUGAGCAAAGGGUAAAAUUCUCUCUCUGACCUUUUGUAAUACCCAAGAGAGAUGGAAAGAAUUGACUGCCAGGGGAAGGAUUUCAGUUGACAUGACAAUUUUAAGGUUAACCAGCUGCCUGCUGACAUUUUUGGUGAGUGUUAUGCUGCAUCAUCUCCGAUUUAUUUUUUUGUAUUGAGUCCCUCAGUUCUGUUGCUUGAUAACACAACAUUCAAAUUACCUACAUGCAAUAUUUCGUAUGUAUUAAGAGAGAGAGGGUUUUUUUUUUUUGACAUUCCUGUUUGUUGUUGUUCAGGAUUAGUGAAAUUUCUGUCUCAUACAAAUGAAAGCAAGUGGGAUAAAGAAGUGCUGAGGUUAUUUCUGAAUUUGCUCUGGUGUGUAAUACCCCAAUAAUAAAUACAGAAAGGAAUGAAAAUUACAGUAUUGAUGCAAUGCUACAGUGUGUUACUUUUAAAAAGGGUGUGAGAUAAAGCUAACCUGACCCAGUCAGUUGCACCUCCCAUUACACUUUAUAUGCAAUAUUUAAUAACCUGCUAUGAUGUGAGUUUUCUCCAGGCUGUUCUUAUAAUGUUUUUCUUGUAAACAAUUAAU